AAGAGAAAUGUUGAACAAUGGAAACCAAACAUUGAGACAGGCAUUGAUGGUGAAAAAAUGCUAGGAACACUUCUGUAACUAAUUUGAGUUUCAGUUAGGCAUUGUGUCUGUGUACACGAGCAAGGACAAAUAGUGCAGCAAACCACAUCAUUAAGCCUGGGCAAUUUAAAAUACUUCGAAAGGUUUACUAGUCUUAAACCUUUUAAGUUUAUCCAUGCAUCAACGAACACUCUGAUAUAGUCUACUAGAUUUUGAGGAGCAUUUGCCCAUUCAGAACCUCUAGUUCAGUUUUUUAUGCACGAUAACAAAUGCUGAGAUGAGAAACAAACAUCAUGAAGACAUUCCUUACAAUAACUUAUUCUACCAUCAACUAUAUCUUGAUUUGGCUUUAAAGGACAGCCAUUCAAUAGCUAAAUCUGUUAGAUCAAUAUAUAAACAACCAGUGACGGAUAAUAGAUUUGCCUUGGUCAAGUAAACUGAAAGGUGAAUUUAUUUGGAUGUGAAAGAGGGCACCUAGCAUUGCAUUCCAGGCCCGAAUAAAUCUGCAAAGAAAAUUCAAGCCAGACCUCUGAUUGUAGCAACAUUCCCUGCAAAUAUCAAGGUCAUCCAUUCUAAAAGGGCCAAUGGGAAGAAACAAAAUUCAACCAUUAUUAAUUAGGGUCAUUUCUUGGUCUAAUGGUAAAAGCGUUGAACUGUCAGGUUUCAGCACAAUUUCCAUAUCUCUAUAAACAGAUAAAAUCCACCAACAUGAAUUCUAAUGAAAGAACAAAGCAAAGAUGGGUGAGGAAAACUCUUACCAUGAACUGCCCUUAUAGAUUACAUUUAACGGGAACCUGUAAAUGAAUCAAAAGGCAAAUAUAUCAAAGAGAAGACAAAAACUUUAUUGUCUUUGGAUCUUUU